rnacentral:rRNA from 1 species
GACGAACGCUGGCGGCGUGCUUAACACAUGCGAGUCGAACGGAAAGGCCCUGCUUUUGUGAGGUGCUCGAGUGGCGAACGGGUGAGUAACACGUGAGUAACCUGCCCUUGACUUUGGGAUAACUUCAGGAAACUGGGGCUAAUACCGGAUAGGAGCUCCUGCUGCAUGGUGGGGGUUGGAAAGUUUCGGCGGUUGGGGAUGGACUCGCGGCUUAUCAGCUUGUUGGUGGGGUAGUGGCUUACCAAGGCUUUGACGGGUAGCCGGCUUGAGAGGGUGACCGGCCACAUUGGGACUGAGAUACGGCCCAGACUCCUACGGGAGGCAGCAGUGGGGAAUAUUGCACAAUGGGCGGAAGCCUGAUGCAGCAACGCCGCGUGCGGGAUGACGGCCUUCGGGUUGUAAACCGCUUUCGCCUGUGACGAAGCGUGAGUGACGGUAAUGGGUAAAGAAGCACCGGCUAACUACGUG